rnacentral:rRNA from 1 species
UGGAGCAUGUGGUUAAUUCGAAGCAACGCGAAGAACCUUACCAGGCCUUGACAUGCGUAGGGAACCCGGUGAAAGCCUGGGUGCCCCGCGAGGGAGCCCUAGCACGGGUGCUGCAUGGCCGUCGUCAGCUCGUGCCGUGAGGUGUCGGGUUAAGUCCCAUAACGAGCGCAACCCUUACCGUUAGUUACCAUCAGGUUAAGCUGGGGACUCUAGCGGGACUGCCACCGUAAGGUGAGAGGAAGGUGGGGAUGACGUCAAAUCAGCACGGCCCUUAUGUCCAGGGCUACACACGUGUUACAAUGGCCAGUACAAAGGGCAGCUACCGGGUGACCGGAUGCUAAUCUCUAAAGCUGGUCUCAGUUCGGAUCGAAGUCUGCAACCCGACUUCGUGAAGCUGGAUUCGCUAGUAAUCGCGCAUCAGCCAUGGCCGCGGUCGAAUACGUUCCCGGGCCUU